GGGACACGAGAGAAGCUAAACUAUAAGUAAACCAAAGGAAAACUAGAUCUAAGGAUAAACAAACACUAACUCACAAGGACGAGCAGGGAAGCGAAAACCAAAUACAACUAAUAAUCUUAACAACAAGAACGUAAAGUUCUUCACCAGCAUGUUUUUCGUCGUCGUCCAAGUCAAAAGUGUGCGUUUCUUUCUCUUUACUAGAAGCAAAGAUUCAAGGUGCUGGUAUGUACUUGAACAAAAUACUCAGGAAACAACUCUGAGCACAAAGGACAGGCCACAGAACAGAAAGUGAAACUGUACCUUUACCUUAACAUCUAUCUUCUGAGAGACAGGUGUACAUGGG